AAAAAGCUAGUUAAAGAAAUAAUAUUAGGUUGUCAACCUUAAGAUUGUUGGAAUCCCGCAGAUA
rnacentral:tRNA from 1 species